GACGAACGCUGGCGGCGUGCCUAAUACAUGCAAGUUGAGCGCUGAAGGUUGGUACUUGUACCAACUGGAUGAGCAGCGAACGGGUGAGUAACGCGUGGGGAAUCUGCCUUUGAGCGGGGGACAACAUUUGGAAACGAAUGCUAAUACCGCAUAAAAACUUUAAACACAAGUUUUAAGUUUGAAAGAUGCAAUUGCAUCACUCAAAGAUGAUCCCGCGUUGUAUUAGCUAGUUGGUGAGGUAAAGGCUCACCAAGGCGAUGAUACAUAGCCGACCUGAGAGGGUGGUCGGCCACAUUGGGACUGAGACACGGCCCAAACUCCUACGGGAAGCAGCAGUAGGGGAUCUUCGGCAAUGGGCGGAAGUCUGACCGAGCAACGCCGCGUGAGUGAAGAAGGUUUUCGGAUCGUAAAACUCUGUUGGUAGGGAAGAACGUUGGUGAGAGUGGAAAGCUCAUCAAGUGACGGUAACUACCCAGAAAGGGACGGCUAACUACGUG
rnacentral:rRNA from 1 species